rnacentral:rRNA from 1 species
GCUACGGGAGGCAGCAGUGAGGAAUAUUGGUCAAUGGCCGCAGGGCUGAACCAGCCAAGUCGCGUGAGGGAUGACGGUCCUAUGGAUUGUAAACCUCUUUUGUCAGGGAGCAAAGGGCGCCACGUGUGCCGUUUUGCGUGUACCUUAAGAACAAGCAUCGGCUAACUCCGUGCCAGCAGCCGCGGUAAUACGGAGGAUGCGAGCGUUAUCCGGAUUUAUUGGGUUUAAAGGGUGCGCAGGCGGAAGGUCAAGUCAGCGGUAAAAUUUCGGGGCUAAACCCCGUCUUGCCGUUGAAACUGGGGUUCUUGAGUGCGCGAGAGGUAUGCGGAAUGCGUGGUGUAGCGGUGAAAUGCAUAGAUAUCACGCAGAACUCCGAUUGCGAAGGCAGCCUACCGGAGCGCAACUGACGCUCAUGCACGAAAGCGUGGGUAUCGAACAGGAUUAGAUACCCGUGUAGUC